rnacentral:rRNA from 1 species
UACGUAGGGUGCAAGCGUUGUCCGGAAUUAUUGGGCGUAAAGAGCUCGUAGGCGGUUUGUUGCGUCGGCUGUGAAAUCCCGAGGCUCAACCUCGGGUCUGCAGUCGAUACGAGCAAACUAGAGUGUUGCAGGGGAGACUGGAAUUCCUGGUGUAGCGGUGAAAUGCGCAGAUAUCAGGAGGAACACCAAUGGCGAAGGCAGCUCGCUGGGACGGUACUGACGCUGAGGCGCGAAAGCGUGGGGAGCAAACAGG